rnacentral:rRNA from 1 species
AUAUUGGACAAUGGGCGCAAGCCUGAUCCAGCCAUGCCGCGUGAGUGAUGAAGGCCCUAGGGUUGUAAAGCUCUUUCACCGGUGAAGAUAAUGACUGUAACCGGAGAAGAAGCCCCGGCUAACUUCGUGCCAGCAGCCGCGGUAAUACGAAGGGGGCUAGCGUUGUUCGGAAUUACUGGGCGUAAAGCGCACGUAGGCGGAUCGAUCAGUCAGGGGUGAAAUCCCAGAGCUCAACUCUGGAACUGCCUUUGAUACUGUCGAUCUAGAGUAUGGAAGAGGUGAGUGGAAUUCCGAGUGUAGAGGUGAAAUUCGUAGAUAUUCGGAGGAACACCAGUGGCGAAGGCGGCUCACUGGUCCAUUACUGACGCUGAGGUGCGAAAGCGUGGGGAGCAAACAGG